rnacentral:rRNA from 1 species
AAUAGAUACCCCGGUAGUCCACGCCGUAAACGAUGAGUGCUAAGUGUUAGAGGGUUUCCGCCCUUUAGUGCUGCAGCUAACGCAUUAAGCACUCCGCCUGGGGAGUACGGUCGCAAGACUGAAACUCAAAGGAAUUGACGGGGGGCCCGCACAAGCGGUGGAGCAUGUGGUUUAAUUCGAAGCAACGCGAAGAACCUUACCAGGUCUUGACAUCCUCUGACAACUCUAGAGAUAGAGCGUUCCCCUUCGGGGGACAGAGUGACAGGUGGUGCAUGGUUGUCGUCAGCUCGUGUCGUGAGAUGUUGGGUUAAGUCCCGCAACGAGCGCAACCCUUGAUCUUAGUUGCCAGCAUUUAGUUGGGCACUCUAAGGUGACUGCCGGUGACAAACCGGAGGAAGGUGGGGAUGACGUCAAAUCAUCAUGCCCCUUAUGACCUGGGCUACACACGUGCUACAAUGGAUGGUACAAGGGCUGCAAGCCGCGAGUCAAGCCAAUCCCAUAAAACCAUUCUCAGUUCGGAUUGU